UGUUCCUGAAAAAUGAAAUCUCUGCAGUCCCUCAAUCACUAUGUCGAGGAGGUGAUGAGGCAACCCAAUUGUACAGCAUCACUGACCAGCACUGAAUGCUCCACUGUACACAAUGGUCUUUUACCCACACCAUUAGAGUCUGAAAACCUGAGGAAUUCGACCACAUAGGGUGUUGACUGUCUCCAGGAACUUGGUCUGAAUGGGGUAGAAGAGUGACUGGAACAAGUUGUCUUCAAAGGGAAACUGCAGACACAGAGACAUUGAUUGUUACAAGUCUGACUUUCAGAGCGAACCUGAAAUACUUCCUAAAGAAGACAUCCUGAUAAGAUGCCACUUCAACCUCUACUGGCUCUUCUACAUGUCAAGAUUUCCCCACAUCUGGAAACAGUCAAGAAAGCACAGAAGAGGGAAAGGAGUACAUUUAUAACUGGCUGCAGAGCGAGCGUGUGCUGACUGCGCUCUCUCUGCUGAAGUCCAACAAAUAUGUGCAUGUAUUGUUAAACAGAGCCGUGUUGUUUAUUUCACUGGAAUGCAAAUGAGGCUGUAUUAAAACAUGUUCAACUUUUAACUUUGAACACAUUUCACUGAAGACGAGGCUGUAAGUGUGCACUUGGGAUUACAUGCAGCAAUUUGUACGUCUCUGAAGUUCAAGAAAAUACAGGCGCUACUUCUCUGAGGAAGCUGAUGCAACCAGAGAUACAACGGCAAAUUUGAGAUGAUUAGUCAUGGAAAGACCAUGACAUGACCACAAUCAGAAUCAUCUGGAAAAAAGGACAAUGUUGUAUGUUGUUGUAUGAGUAACUAAAGAGAAUGAUCCCAAAUAAUCAGGAUGUUGAGCUGAAUCACCAACACCAAAUAUUUAUCAUUUGCAGUCACCAAACAUGUGGUGAAGAUUAAAGGGCAUGUUCUAACUAAAAAUCUUAAAUCUAACAACAGAGUUGCACAUAAAUUUACCAAUCUCACGGAAACCUAUGGCAUUUUGCCUUUAUGUUGCCACACCCCACGCACGCUCUGUUAGCCCUUUUUUAGUAAUAACUUUUAGUAAUUUGUGAUUAAAUUUCAGAUUAAAAAUGUUAAUAAUUUGGCAGUCCUAUUUAAAGAAAACAAAGGAGUUGUACCUAUUGAACAAUAGGUACUACUUUAAAGGUUAGAGACAUUAACACCAAAUAUUUGGUUUGUUGUAAUUCUUUAAUCAAUACCAGAAAUCCCACCAUGCUUGUACUCGGGCCAAAUAGUUCUUCAUGCGUUAUUUGGUUCAAUAUUCAAUCAACUUCAGCAGAUUGCUCCUCAGUGAACCACGUAAUUACUACUGUGUGACCUUAAUCAUCUCCAAGAGCUGAGAUGCUAUUUCUGCUUGUCAAUUUUAACCAGCAUUUACAGUUGUUUUGCUAUGCAGUCUUUAUUUUGGCAUCUUUAUCUUUUUGCUUUAGAAAUUAAAUGGCUUGCAAUCUUUUGCUAAACAAAGUAAAUUGGGUGUCUUAGCUUGCUCUCUAACUGGCAACAAUUCCUGAACCAUGAGGAGGGUAAGUGGUAAACUUGUCCUUCUUUCCUUGUUGUGCUUGCCUGACAAAUCAAGAUUUUGUUUUCAAUGCAUUUUAUAGUGUGCACCACUUCCCUGGAAAUGGGUUUUGUACUUGAGAAAUGGUUUAGUAUUUUAUGGCAUGGUUUGGCAAACACAUUUGAUCUCUAAAAGUUUUUCUUUACCCAUAAAGAAAAACUUUUCAUCUGUAAUUUAACAUCUUCUGACAAUGGCCAUGACUCACUCUCAACAAUUCCUCACAGCACAAAAACAAACAUUGCUGCUUCUGCAGCCAAGGCUCAGAGGAGCAGCCUCUCUGGUCAGGUUACACAGGCCAGAAGGGAGAUUUUAAACUGCAGUUCACAUUUCAUAAGAGGUGAGGAGGGAUAAACAGUCAGAAUUUGUCCAAACUUAGAAAUGCAAAUUAUAAAUACUGAAAUACUGCAUUUGAUCACCAAAAAAGUAAAUUCAAGGUUGGUCAGCUGCAGUGUGAUGGAUGCAGCUUUUGUUUUGGCUUCUUUCCAUUUUAUUUGUUUUUUAUUCCUCUUCAGGUGUUGCAGAUUUUAUUAUCUCCAAAUUUGUACGGUUGCUCCUUCUAUUUUUGGCCACAGGAAGUUGUGUGAUGUGUCAAGAGGAAAUGAUAUGAUUAGCAAAAGCGGGAACAAAAGCGCGGCUCUCAGGAAACCUGACUGACACUCCUAUUUCCAAACGCCUGAGGCCUCAAAAGCGGAUAUCAGAAAUAGAGAUAAGGUACAAAUCACUGCCGAUUCCUACGACUUUUCUUUAUUAAUCAGAUUGAUGUAACUACCACAUGAAAGCUAUGUGUUAGUCACAUACUGCAAAGUAGCUUUCUAACCAAGUUGAUGUUUUUAAAAGCAGAAAGCUUUUGGAGCUUGUUCCAGGUGCUCCGGCUGUUCACUGACUGCAGCAGUCAGAACCAACCAUUUUCCAAACCUGUUAUGUUUUUUUAAUGGCCAGCAGUGACCCCUUCUACCCCAUCUCUCUUAUCAGCGCUCAGCACACACGGGGGAAUGUAGCUUCUGGGAGGACGUAAAAGUCCUUCCUCAAUGUAACGCCUUGAUGGCUUUUAUCUGCUAAACAUUGUCCCCAUCCUUCAGCAAGUCUUUGGAGUAGAAUACAUAUUACUGUCUGUCGGUGGAGAGGGUAUCUACACAACCACAUUGUGGCUGCUGUGGCAUCGCUGGCAUUCAACCCCAGAGGAAACGAAAUAAGGAAGGUGCUUCUAUCCUUGGACAGAAAUGGUAACACACGGUAAAGCUCCUCUGCCUUUAAAAAUGAAGUGUGUGUUCGUUCAUUGAAAGAAUCGACAGGAUGCAGCUGCUUUCUAAUCUCCCAACAAAAAUAAAUAAAUAAAAAAAAGAUGCCUGACCUGACAUCGUGUUGCCCCAAGACAAACAGAAACAGGUUUUCUAUUUAUGUAUUUUUUACAUAUCUCGUCAGUGCUGGUGCAAAACAGUUCCAGAGACAGCCAUAGGCAUUGUUUUUUCUUUAAAUGUCUCUCUACUCAAUGUCUCAGACAGGACUUAAAAAAAACAAAGACCUUGCAAAAGAGUAAAAAAACAAAAACAAACAGUGUUCGUGCAAUUGGUAGAAAAGUAACAAUUCCUGCAAAACACGUCAACACGCAUAUUUCCUUGCUUUUUAAGUGAUAUCAAAAACAACACAGUAAGGCUGCCACUUGUGACCACAUCAGACAUUCUGAGUAGAGAUUCCAGAGAGGAUUAUUAUCAGGUGCACUGUGAGAAUGCAGCAAUUCAGACAAAGGCAAAGAAAUUCAUACUUUGUUCUUUUUCCUUAACACCUGACAAUACACCUUACAAGUAAACACAUCAAUGCACCAAGAAUGAACGAUGCACACAAUGGUAACAACACGGCAGUUAUUAUUUGAUGACAGAAAAAAAACAUCUAACAAAUUUUAGAGUCUCCCAAGGGUUCUAUUGAAGAUCGGUGCUGCAUUUUAAAAUGGAAACUUGUUUUAUUUUCAUUUAUGCAAGAUAUGCCUGCAUUUUGGUUCCAUAGUGCAGCAGUUAGUGAAAGUGAAUUACUUAGUGAUUGUGACACAGCACACAACAAAAUGUGACCUCUGCUUUAACCCAUCACCAAAGUGAACAGUGGGCAGCUUUAAGCACCCGGGGAGCAGUGUGUGGGGACAGUGCCAUGCUCAGAGCACCACAGUGGUAACUUGGUACUCGAAUCUGAAGCCUUCUGGACCCAAGUCCGCUUCCUUAACCACUAAGCCACCACUGCCCUACUAGCACUGCUGCCCCUGAAACAGAGAGUCCUGGGUUCGAUAACCAGAGGAACCACAUGCUUGGCUCCAGCCAGGGGCAGCCUGUUACAGCAGAUCUGCUGUUAAUACAAGAAUUUCCCAAAUAUGGCAUAACUAAAGUUCAAAUUAUUAUUAUUAUUAUUAUUUCUGCAAUGCCUGUAAUUUAUUAUUAAACUUAUUCUAAAUGUCCAUCAAAUGCAUUACAUCAAAAUAAAUUUAGUUUUUUUCUGCAUCUGUUUAAAAAUAAAUUAAGAAAACCCAAGCAUAACCAAUUAUUUUAGCACCUUAGUGCCUUUUUUUUUUUUUCAACUACAACAAUGAUUGAGAUCUAGAGGUCAGAGGAUAUGAGUUCUGUACUGCUGUUGCCGUAUGACAUUCUCUCUGCAAAUACUGCAGACAUUUGCACAUAAUCACAUUAGUCAUGGUCUGUGCUCACAUCACUGCCAAAUAUUUACGCAGUGCCCUGAUUGGUACAGUGCAUUUCACUAGCCAAGCAACAACGUUGAAGAGUGGUCAUAGGGAGCACAGGAGUGUCACACUGGACAAUUAACAAUAGCAUUGUAAAUGUCUAUGUAUCCACACUUAAUAAAAAUUCAUGGAUUUAAAUGAAAAUAAUGGACACCACCAACAAGUGUCCAUUGAGAAUGCCAUGCUACACUCUUUAAAUUACUAUAUUAAGUGUGGUCAUUAAAACAGAAGCUAUCAAAACAGAGCACUUAUCUGAUGUGGAGCUUUGUCAGACUAGAAAAUAAGAACUUAAGAAAAAAGAUUUUAAAAAUGUACAACCUUUAAUCUGCAGUGUAAACAUUACAUAUUGCUCAUUUAUAAACACGGAUGUUUUUGCAAAAAGCAAAUUAUAAAUAUGUUCUGUAAUAGGGCAGAUCUGGUUGGACUUCACGGACAGUGGCUUCUGGCUCUCUGUAUCUAGGGAUGGUUGUUUUUGGCAUUUGCCUCGAGCUCAGGUUUAAGUUAUGGGACAAAGUUGCUCUGGAGUACGGGUUCAAAUUCAGUAUGAAACACUGCACUUGAUGAAUACUGCACUGUAUGACAUGCAAAUUCCCACUGUUGAGAGAAUUAUGGAAACACAUGUGCUUGCCAUCAAGUGGGGGGGAGCAAGGUUAACUGAGAACCAGAAGGUCAAAGAUGGAAUUCCAGCUGCAUAGCACCACGUCUCUGGACCAUCAUUUAACCCGUGGUACCUCAUCAUGCUCUGACCAGAUAGGUGUCCAACAGAGAUAAAUGGGAGGAGUGAAGGCCAUCUUGGCCAAAAUGACAUACAUAGUGUUUGCUCUGGCACCGCCUCAAGCAGACGACAGUAUGAUUCGUGAUCACUUCAGUCGGGGUUACCGUGACAGAAAAUGGUCAUCUGGUUCUGUACCUCAAUAAGCCUAGUAACGUAGACAAAUGCAGGGGAGGCAGAGUGAUUGGAGCAUCGCUGUAAAUAGGGAUGGUCC